ACAGCGGGAAGCCACCUGGCGACAGGGCGCGGAACCCGAAAACCUGUCUCAGUUCGGAUUGGAGUCUGCAACCCGACUCCAUGAAGCUGGAUUCGCUAGUAAUCGCGCAUCAGCCACGGCGCGGUGAAUACGUUCCCGGGCCUUGUACACACCGCCCGUCAAGCCAUGGAAGCCGGGAGUGCCUGAAGUGCGUGACCGCAAGGAGCGUCCUAAGGCAAUACCGGUGACUGGGGCUAAGUCGUAACAAGGUAGC
rnacentral:rRNA from 1 species